rnacentral:rRNA from 1 species
UACAGAGGUGGCGAGCGUUGUUCGGAUUUACUGGGCGUAAAGGGUGCGUAGGCGGACUCGUAUGUCGGAUGUGAAAUCCCACAGCUCAACUGUGGACUGUCAUCCGAAACUGCGAGACUAGAGUGCGGGACGGGAGAGCGGAAUUCUUGGUGUAGCGGUGAAAUGCGUUGAUAUCAAGAGGAACACCGGUGGCGAAGGCGGCUCUCUGGAACGUAACUGACGCUGAGGCACGAAAGCGUGGGGAGCAAACAGGAUUAGAUACCCUGGUAGUCCACGCUGUAAACGGUGUGCACUUGGUGUUGGAGGUAUUGACCCCUCCAGUGCCGGAGCGAACGCGUUAAGUGCACCGCCUGGGGAGUACGGCCGCAAGGUUA